rnacentral:rRNA from 1 species
CGAACUCAGUAGUGAAACGAUGUAUCGCCGAUGGUAGUGUGGGGUUUCCCCAUGUGAGAGUAGGUCAUCGUCAAGA